GCUUGGGGGCUUGCUCCCAAGUUAGUGGCGAACGGGUGAGUAAUACAUCGGAACGUACCGUGUAGUGGGGGAUAACGUAGCGAAAGUUACGCUAAUACCGCAUACGAUCUACGGAUGAAAGCAGGGGACCUUCGGGCCUUGUGCUAUACGAGCGGCCGAUGUCUGAUUAGCUAGUUGGUGAGGUAAAGGCUCACCAAGGCGACGAUCAGUAGCGGGUCUGAGAGGAUGAUCCGCCACACUGGGACUGAGACACGGCCCAGACUCCUACGGGAGGCAGCAGUGGGGAAUUUUCCGCAAUGGGCGAAAGCCUGACGGAGCAAUACCGCGUGAGGGAGGAAGGCUCUUGGGUUGUAAACCUCUUUUUUCAGGGAGGAAUCAAUGACGUGUACCGUAAGAAUAAGCACCGGCUAACUACGUGCCAGCAGCCGCGGUAAUACGUAGGGUGCAAGCGUUAAUCGGAAUUACUGGGCGUAAAGCGUGCGCAGGCGGUUAUGUAAGACAGAUGUGAAAUCCCCGGGCUCAACCUGGGACCUGCAUUUGUGACUGCAUAGCUAGAGUGCGGCAGAGGGGGAUGGAAUUCCGCGUGUAGCAGUGAAAUGCGUAGAUAUGCGGAGGAACACCGAUGGCGAAGGCAAUCCCCUGGGCCUGCACUGACGCUCAUGCACGAAAGCGUGGGGAGCAAACAGGAUUAGAUACCCUGGUAGUCCACGCCCUAAACGAUGUCAACUGGUUGUUGGGUCUUCACUGACUCAGUAACGAAGCUAACGCGUGAAGUUGACCGCCUGGGGAGUACGGCCGCAA
rnacentral:rRNA from 1 species